GAAGACGUUUCUGACACAAAACCCCAGGGGAAUCCACGGAGGAGCUGGGCUGUCAUUACUUAUUAACGGUGGGCCUGAUCCCCAGCCAGGCUGGCCCAGGGAAAUAGCCUGUAGGGAGGCCGGCCUCGCUGCUACCAGGUGGAUUAACACUUUCAGGGCGGGAGGGAGCUGUUUGGGGGGGGGUCAAUUGUCACAUUGUUGCAUGUAAGAGGGGCCAUUCUUUACACAUUAGACACAGGCGCCUUCUUCCUCGGCGUUCCCUCCCCCUCGGCGUCUGCAUUCUUCUCUUCCCUUCUCCUCCUGCCCGCUCUGGUUUUAAGCCAGCAAACCCACAGGAUGUGGGAGACUGCGCUCGCUCACGGGGAAGAGGAAGAUCUGAGAAAGCACACGGCCCGGAACCUGGGGAUGAUGUCUUCGGAGAGGGCCCGAGGAGGCGGGGAGAGGGAGAGGCAGCGGAGCCGCAGCGGGAGCCGGUACAUCCCGGUUGCAGACCGGGAAAGGUUGGAUUCACAAACUGGAGCCUGUUGUCUUGGGGUUGGGGGAAGUUAAAAAAAAAACCUCAGCUCUCCGAAGUGUCCGCAGCAAGGAGGCCUCUGGUGCUGCUUUGGAGCCGCAGUGCAUGGGCACCUCGAACUGCACCGCUACGUGUCCCCACGUUUCCAGCUCAGAGGAAGCUUGGUUAG
rnacentral:lncRNA from 1 species